CAAAAAAUAGUUUAAUUAAUAAAAUAUUAAUUUUGGAAAUUAAAGUUAUAAAAAUUAUUUUUUUGA
rnacentral:tRNA from 1 species